rnacentral:rRNA from 1 species
UGGGGAAUAUUGCACAAUGGGGGAAACCCUGAUGCAGCGACGCCGCGUGAACGAAGAAGGUAUUCGUAUCGUAAAGUUCUGUCCUAUGGGAAGAUAAUGACAGUACCAUAGAAGAAAGCUCCGGCUAAAUACGUGCCAGCAGCCGCGGUAAUACGUAUGGAGCGAGCGUGGUCCGGAAUUAUUGGGCGUAAAGGGUACGCAGGCGGUUUAAUAAGUCGAAUGUUAAAGAUCGGGGCUCAACCCCGCAAAGCAUUGGAAACUGAUAAACUUGAGUAGUGGAGAGGAAAGUGGAAUUCCUCGUGUAGUGGUGAAAUACGUAGAUAUUAGGAGGAAUACCAGUAGCGAAGGCGACUUUCUGGACACAAACUGACGCUGAGGUACGAAAGCGUGGGGAGCAAACAGG